AGUUUUUCGGAUUCACCCAAAAACUUGGAUGUUAAACUAGAAGCUGAAAUAGAAAAAAAGACAGAACGGGAUUCAGUAGCAACAGCUCGCGCAAGCAUUGUCUUACCAGUUCCUGGAGGCCCAAAAAGAAGCAUCCCCCUAGCUGGUUCCCGCAAGCCUUGGAACAAAUCUGGACGCAAGAACGGAUACACCACUGCCUCUUUUAAAGAGUGCUUAGCAAAUUCUAACCCAGAAAUAUCAUCCCAAUGAACUUCAUCACCCGAAACCACGAUUUCUCGAAGUAUACUCUUACCAAGCUCUUCGUCGAUGUCUGGACAUUCACGCAGAAUUUGUUCUUGCUUUUCAGAAG